UAUUGCACAUUUAUUUUGACAAUGAAUUUUAACUGCGUUAGGUUUGGUUUUACUUUUUUUUUUUUUUUACUGUAUGAUUCAUAUGUUAAAAAGUUAUGUUUGGUUUUACUUGCAAUUUAUUUAUGUUCUCGUGGAAGAGGGAGGGUGCACCAGUAAGCCCAUAGGCAAUGAUGAAUGGGCUAAGUUCUUUUUUAUAUAGCACAAUAUUUUUUA
rnacentral:lncRNA from 1 species